GUUGAGAGGACAGAACAAUGCUUAGUGGAACCUCGGAAGACUCUCCGAAGCUAACUUCAAUAAACAAAGCUCCAGAGUCAAAAAUAGUAAUAACAACAACAACACAGGCCAGUUUGGAUGAACUCCUGGGUUAGGGCGCUAUGUAACGUGAGUCCCUUUACUCUUCCUCUUGGCCAUCUGCUGAGAUCAGGUGAGGUCCAGCCGCACGGCCUCCCUGAGAUCACUCAGGCCUGGGAGCUUCUGCCCAAUGAUCCCUGAGAAGCUUGCCUGGGCUAUCAGACCAGCAAUUAAUGAGCAUCAGCGAGUGACAGGUUGGGAAAGAAAAUCAUGAAAAGGCUGGCUCUUGGCCACACUUCUAGGUAACAAGACUGAAAAGGAAAUGAUCGGGAGCUCUGAUGCUGGUACAACAAACAUCCCUGGGAACUAGAUAGAAAACAAACCCAAGAUGAUUCUGAAAGAGGAGGAGAAGACAGACCUGCUCUGGACCACAUGACCAAGGAAUGACAUGGUGGUGAGUUCCACGGGUUUUCUUUUUGUUCAUCUAUCUCAGACA